rnacentral:lncRNA from 1 species
CCCGUUUAUUAUUGUAAAACAACAUAUCUACUUGCAAAGUAUAACUAUAUAUACUCAAUCAAAAAAAAUAUUAAGCUCGGCAAAUAAUGUUGGUGUCUAGUAUAUGCCACAACAAAAUGGGGUAGCCUGCAUAUUCAAAUUUUCUCAAUUUUGCCGUCUAAUUUUUAAAAUCUGACAUAUUAUAAGAUCUGGAUUUAUAAAUAAGUAUAACAACAAAAGGAAAAGAUUAAUUAAUGUUUCAUUUAAUACAUUAAGAAAAAAAUC